AUUGCUUCUCAGCUUUUUGGCUAAGAUCAAGUGUAGUAUCUGUUCUUAUCAGUUUAAAACUUGGUCUUGAAAUGCAAAAACCAAAACAAAAAAAAAACCCACA
rnacentral:snRNA from 1 species